CUUCCACUGCACCUUUCCUUCCACUUAUUCCAUCAACCACCGACUCCCUCACAAUUUUAUAUCACCUUCCCUUUACACCACUAUACCAACUAAAACAUUUUAUAUCAGCUAAGGGAAGCUUUAACUCUGUUUCAAACAAAUCACCACAAUUUAUUCUCACAAGAAAAACGCAGAUGGAGGGCCUUAUUCACCAAAUUCCCUCUUUCAAGAACAGAACUUGAACUUACAAAGUUUUUGUUGCUGCAUGCUUUCACACCACAAGAAGCUUGGUUUUAAAGGACUCUCCCUCAACAGAUCAACAAAUCAGUAUCACAAGGUUGAGCAGUUGAUGGAAUGGAAUGAUGUUGAGCGGGUGUUCCUUUGACAUUUCAAGAAAUGUAACCUUGAGUAUACAUCUUCAUAUGUAUAUCUCACACGUUUUCCGCUGCAAAACACUUUGAUUAGGAUAACUUUAUGUUAUGAAAUUGUGACACGUGUUAUUGGGUAACCCACCUUAAUCAGUUCUCAUUUAUGUGUAUGUUUUAUAAGUAUCCAAAUAAUCA